GGCCGGUUAGCUCAGUUGGUUAGAGUGCGAUGCUCGUAACACCAGGGUUGCUGGUUCGAUCCCUGCAUGGGUCA